CCUCUAGAUGAGGAAGAUACGAUUGCAUAUAUUGUAAACGGCCUAGAUGGCGACUAUGACUCGUUUGUAUCUGCUCUUGGGAUGAGGGUUGAACCCAUCACUAUGACAAAAUUGUAUGCACAAUUGCUCAACUUUGAGA
rnacentral:snoRNA from 1 species